UUAAGCCUCACCAGUUUCCAAUCCAAAUUUAGAGAUUCUUCCCUAAAAAAGGAAUCACAACCCACGAUAAUCAAAUUUAGAGAUUAUUCCCUAAAAAAAUGGAAGAAAGACAUGAAUAUUGUAAGCGUUCUAUGAGUUUAUGAAUAUUGCUGACAAGAACUUCAGGAGAGUGACCUUAGAAACCGUAAGGUUGCUUCAUUGUGACCAAG
rnacentral:lncRNA from 1 species